UCUAUGCACUGUCACUUCCGCGUUUUGUCUCAGUUGUACUGUAGCUUCCGGCGCAGCGCUUAUUGCACACUGUUUUAAUAAGCGCUGUCAGCAUGUCAUUUUACACUCGCUGCUUGCAAGAGCUUCCCCGGAUUACGGUGAACGACGUCAAUCGAGUUGUGAGGUUGGCAUCUGUCACUCCUUCUAGUAAAAAGGAGAAAUGAUUUAAAUGGUACAUUUCGAGUUACAUCGACAACUUUGAGGUUUCUAAUAAGGAUCAGAUCUAUGAGGAAGACAGAGAAGUCACAUAGAGAUGCAACUGUUCUUGUGUUGCUGGCACUGCACUGUGUAAUCACAUAGUUGCACUACUGUACCAGACAGCACAUUACUCUCAGCUUGGCAUCAGUGCAGUUCCUCCAGUGAGCAGCUGUACUGAAACUGAGCAGAGCUGGCACAAACCAAGAACAAUGGGAGUCCGGCCAGGUCCUGUCACUGGGAUGGUGGUUUUAUCUGCAAGACCUAAAGAGAGGAAACUUGCUGCUGGUGUAAAGUGGAUACUGCAAUCAACUAUAAAUGAAGAGUUUCGUUGCAAAACAAGAUAAAUCCACUUUUUAACAUUUUUGUCAAAAGAUGUUUAUUAUUAUGUUAUCAUGUUAUUAUUUUGUUUUAUGGUGCUACUUAGCUGUAAUUUUUAAGUUAUGAAGGUUUAAAUCAAAACAAACCAACUGCAGUUGCAUUGAAAUUAAUUGGAAUGCACAACCAAAAAACGAGAUUUCUGAACAAUUAAAAAACGG